rnacentral:rRNA from 1 species
UACGUAGGGACCUAGCGUUGUCCGGAAUCAUUGGGCGUAAAGCGCGCGUAGGCGGCCCGGUAAGUCCGUUGUAAAAGUCAAAGGCUCAACCUUUGAAAGCCGAUGGAUACUGCCGGGCUAGAGUACGGAAGAGGCGAGUAGAAUUCCUGGUGUAGCGGUGGAAUGCGCAGAUAUCAGGAGGAAUACCCAUAGCGAAGGCGGCACUCUGGGCCGGUACUGACGCUGAGGAGCGAAAGCGUGGGGGAGCAAACAGG